CUUUUUGGUAAUUUCACCUUCUAAUCCCUAUCUAUAACCCCCAGCACGACUCCAGGAGCUCUGUGGAAGGGUCUUGAGACCAGAGGAGGGUUCUUCCACCAUUUUUUCUCUUUCUCUCUCUAGGGUUUUUCUCUCUCUACAGAGAACUCGCCGUUUUAGCCGUUUUCGUCGCCACGCGCGUUCUUCGCUGAUUGCGAGCAUCGCAGAGGUUGCGUGAUCGUGGGAGAGAGUAUUUUGGAGGUUUUUUCGCAGCUUUGGACCAGGAGUUUGCUUGUUGGAUGCCUAAGCAGCAGGUUUUCGAACCUAAUUAAACUUAUUUAGUGACCUUGGGGACUAGUGAGGAAGGUGCUAUAACCUGAGGGAAGCAAGAAUUUCAGCAGGCUUGCGACCGGGUCUUGGAGUACAUUUCGCUGACUUAUAGGGGCUUUUAGAUACUUAACUUGAGCAGGAUCGGAGCCUUGUUGAGCAGUAUAUUGGGACUUCGGGUGACUAAUUGGAGCUUCAUAAUAGAGCCAUCUACAGGAGAGGCUAGGGAUCGUGGCAAGG